rnacentral:rRNA from 1 species
AGCGAACGCUGGCGGCAGGCUUAACACAUGCAAGUCGAGCGGGCACUUUCGGGUGUCAGCGGCGGACGGGUGAGUAACGCGUGGGAACGUGCCCUCUGGUUCAGAAUAACUCAGGGAAACUUGAGCUAAUACCGGAUACGCCCUUUUGGGGAAAGGCUUGCUGCCGGAGGAUCGGCCCGCGUCUGAUUAGCUAGUUGGUGAGGUAACGGCUCACCAAGGCGACGAUCAGUAGCUGGUCUGAGAGGAUGAUCAGCCACACUGGGACUGAGACACGGCCCAGACUCCUACGGGAGGCAGCAGUGGGGAAUAUUGGACAAUGGGCGCAAGCCUGAUCCAGCCAUGCCGCGUGAGUGAUGAAGGCCUUAGGGUUGUAAAGCUCUUUUAUCCGGGACGAUAAUGACGGUACCGGAGGAAUAAGCCCCGGCUAACUUCGU